GGAGAUCUUGCGGUGGGAGCUAAAAAGUGACCUGUGUCUGAUAUUGGUACAAGCCACCAUGCUCCCUCUGUAAAGUGAAGAAGCUCCAAGUCUAGACAGGGACCCUAGGUGUAAUAAUGUCACUUAAAACGUAACCUGGCUCUUAGUAGUAAUGGUGCUUGGAGUGACCCUUUAAAUGCAAUGGAUAGCUGGAGAAUUAUGGGAGUUAUAGUUAAGAAACAGCUGAGGAGAUGUCUGCACUAUAACAUUAAAGUGGUUGUCACACCUCGAGUCCCUCGAUGCCAUUCCUCCAUUCAGUGUUAAACCAUACUGUAAUGGAUUACCAUUCAGUGUGGGGUUUGUACAACCACAGCUUGGUCGCUUUAUGCUGCUUGGGCUAAUGCUUCUCCUUUAGCAUGAACAGCCAUGGGUGGUAGUGAUUGACUGAGAGCAUCAGCUGUUUUCUUUAAGCCUAGCCCAGCCACCC